rnacentral:rRNA from 1 species
UACGUAGGGGGCAAGCGUUGUCCGGAAUCAUUGGGCGUAAAGAGCGCGUAGGCGGCCCUGUAAGUCCGCUGUGAAAGUCAAGGGCUCAACCCUUGGAUGCCGGUGGAUACUGCAGGGCUAGAGUCCGGAAGAGGCGAGUGGAAUUCCUGGUGUAGCGGUGAAAUGCGCAGAUAUCAGGAAGAACACCUAUGGCGAAGGCAGCUCUCUGGGACGGUACUGACGCUGAGACGCGAAAGCGUGGGGAGCGAACAGG